AAUGUUACCUCUUCCAUUUGGCUUCUUUCAAAACAAAUUAAGGAAGAACAAGGUGGCAGAAGAGAGAGAGAGAGAGAGCCCAUAAAUCUGAAGGAAGGACGAGCUUGCUCCUUUCGCUCCCUAUAUCUCUUCCCUAGUUGGGGGAACGCAUCAGCCUCCUCUCUUUUUAUUUUUUUAUUCAGCUGAAACUUGCAGCUUUAGCUUGGCCUGGCCUUCCCCACUUCCAAGAUGGGAUACGAGAAGGCCGUAGUCAAGAGCAUGGGCAGGAUUGAAGCAAGGAAGCUUGGCUUGGCCUUGCUCGUGGGCUGCUGCUUAGUGAUCUUGAGCUACUUCAUCACCAUGUCAGAAACCCCUGUUGACGGGCAGGCAUCACUGACCUUCACGGUUGGCGCUAAUGGAGACGCGGAAGACAAAAUUAGUCGAGUUCAGCCUGAAAAGGAAAAGAUUGCGGUCGAGGAGCCAAACAAAAGCAUUUCUACUGUUUCCCAUGUAAUUUUGAAGGACAAUAACAGCGAAUUGAGAAAACAAGAUGAAACGGUUCUCCCACCGAAGAAAGAAGAGCCGCAAGUGAUUGAGAUGCCGAGGCCGCCGCUGACGGAAUCAAUCUGCGACUUCUCCAACUUCAGAACAGAGUUUUGCGACCUGAAGGGUGACGUCAGAGUCCACGGCAAGAAGAAGGCCGCCUCCGCGGCCGUGGUGCUCUUGUCGCCCCAACGCAAGGCCGAGGAGUACAUGGUCGUCCCGUACGUCCGUAAACAUAUGGACAACAUCGAGAAGGUCGCGGUGCGAACCGUUCAGGCGCCUCAUGCCGCGCCGGCGUGCACCGCCAGCAGCACCGUCCCCGCCAUCGUCUUCGCCCUUGGCGGCUUCACCGGGAACUACUACCACGACUUCACCGACGUGCUCCUCCCCCUGUUCCUGACCGCGCACGAGUUCCACGGCGAGGUCCAAUUCCUGAUCACCAACAUCCAGUUGUGGUGGCUCGGCAAGUACCGGCCCAUCUUCGAGAAGCUCACGCGGUACGAAUUCGUCGACCUCGACAAGAGCGACGACGUGCACUGCCGUUCGCACGUCCUGGUUGACCUACGCUUCCACAACGACCUCAUCAUCGACCGCGCGCGCGCGCCGAACGGCAUCUCCACGCCCGACUUCUCCAGGUUCCUGCGCGAGGUGUACUCGCUCCCGCGGGAGCGCGCCGUCAGCCUGCGGGCGCACCCAGAGCGGCGGCCGCGGCUCCUUCUGGUGGCACGGAACGGCACGCGGCGGUUCACCAACAUGCCGGAGGUCGCGCAGGCGGCCGAGGCGGCAGGCUUCGAGGUGGUGCGCGCGGACGCGGAGUUCGGGAAUGUGGCCGGGUUCGUGGAGGUGGUGAACUCGUGCGAUGUGAUCAUGGGCGUGCACGGAGCCGGGCUCACCAACUUCGUCUUCCUGCCGGCGAACGCGGUGGUGAUACAGAUCGUGCCGUGCUGCGAUUUGGAGGGAAUGGCGGAGCACACUUUCGGAGCACCGGCGAAGGAGGCGGGGCUGCUCUACUUGCAGUAUAGCAUCAGCGUGGAGGAGAGCACGCUGCUGGAGUCGUAUCCGAGGGAGCACCCGGUGUUCACUGACCCGCAGUCGAUCCACCGGCAGGGAUGGUUCAAGAUGGGGAAGAUCUACUUGGGCCGACAGCACGUGAAGCUCGACGUCGACAGGUUCAGGCCGAUCUUGAUCCAAGCCAUGGACCAUCUCCGGCAAUAGAACUGUGUCCGUGAAGAAUUUGUUGAUUCCUAACAUUUACUGCUACAGCUGGUGCCAUGUUUUCACCAUCACUCGAGAAUUUGUUUAUUGGAUGGAAGAAUAAGGAAAGAAAUCAGUGCUCAAAUUAUGCCAGACUGCAAUGAAUCGUAUCUCAUCUCUUUUACCAAUGUUUUUAAAUUUGUAUCUAUAAUCUAUCGAUGGAACAUUUGGUUCAACAGUGAGUUAGCAAGCCCCAAAUCUUGC